UGUGUUUGUAUAGUGUGUGUAUAUAAUGCAGUUUGUGUGUAUGUAUAUAAUGCAGUUUGUGUGUGUGUUUGUAUAGUGUGUGUAUAUAAUGCAGUGUAUUUGUGUGCAUUGUAUACAAACACACACUAUACAAACACACACUGCAUUAUAUACACAGUGUGUUUGUGUAGUGUCUGUGUAUAUAAUGGAGUGUGUGAGGGGGA